rnacentral:rRNA from 1 species
UACGGGGGGGGCAAGCGUUGUUCGGAAUUACUGGGCGUAAAGGGCUCGUAGGCGGCCAACUAAGUCAGACGUGAAAUCCCUCGGCUUAACCGGGGAACUGCGUCUGAUACUGGAUGGCUAGAGAUUGGGAGAGGGAUGCGGAAUUCCAGGUGUAGCGGUGAAAUGCGUAGAUAUCUGGAGGAACACCGGUGGCGAAGGCGGCAUCCUGGACCAAUUCUGACGCUGAGGAGCGAAAGCCAGGGGAGCAAACGGG